rnacentral:rRNA from 1 species
CUACGGGUGGCAGCAGUGGGGAAUAUUGCACAAUGGGCGCAAGCCUGAUGCAGCCAUGCCGCGUGUAUGAAGAAGGCCUUCGGGUUGUAAAGUACUUUCAGCGGGGAGGAAGGGAGUAAAGUUAAUACCUUUGCUCAUUGACGUUACCCGCAGAAGAAGCACCGGCUAACUCCGUGCCAGCAGCCGCGGUAAUACGGAGGGUGCAAGCGUUAAUCGGAAUUACUGGGCGUAAAGCGCCCGCGGGCGGUUUGUUAAGUCAGAUGUGAAAUCCCCGGGCUCAACCUGGGAACUGCAUCUGAUACUGGCAAGCUUGAGUCUCGUAGAGGGGGGUAGAAUUCCAGGUGUAGCGGUGAAAUGCGUAGAGAUCUGGAGGAAUACCGGUGGCGAAGGCGGCCCCCUGGACGAAGACUGACGCUCAGGUGCGAAAGCGUGGGGAGCAAACAGGAUUAGAUACCCCGGUAGUC